AUGGUCAUAUCAGAUUGAAAUACUGGUUCUCAUAUGAUCCCUGAAGUAAGCAAUGCUGAGUCUGCUCAGAACUUAGAUGGGUGACCACUUGGGAAUACCAGAUGCUGUAA